rnacentral:rRNA from 1 species
GAUGAACGCUAGCGGCAGGCUUAAUACAUGCAAGUCAAGGGGGUAGCAAUACUACCGGCGCACGGGUGAGUAACACGUACAUAACAUACCAUAUACUGGGGUAUAGCUUUGGGAAACUGAAGGUAAUCCCCCAUAACAUUGCGAGAGGGCAUCUGAUUGCAAUUAAAGUUUCGACGGUAUAUGAUUGAUGUGCGUUUUGAUUAGCUUGUUGGUAGGUAACGGCCUACCAAGGCGACGAUCAAUAGCUGGCGUGAGAGCGCGACCAGCCACACUGGAACUGAGACACGGUCCAGACUCCUACGGGAGGCAGCAGUAGGGAAUAUUGGACAAAUGGACGCAAGUCUGAACCAGCCAUCCCCGCGUGCAGGACGACGGCCCUAUGGUUGUAACUGCUUUGUACAGG